rnacentral:lncRNA from 1 species
CCUGGACAUGCCUGAAAUUGGAACUCAGGGUCUUUCUCAGCCUAACCGUUUGAUGACUGUGAUUGGAAGCCUGAGAUACCUCUAGUUCUGUAGCCUAGCUUGAGGGAAAGAAAAAAAGGAAAUUUUUCUGCCCCUUUUAUCUAUCUAACCACAGUCUCAUGGGGUUAAUUAAUUGACAUCUGUAUUUAUUUUAAUAUGGCAAGGUGCCAUAUAUUUUAUGUAGUUUAUAUUUUAUAUAAAAUCACGCUUUGUUUGCCAGGCACAGUGCUAAGCACUUUAUAAACAUUAACCCAUUGGACUCCUUCAAGCUGAAAAAGGGAAAAUUAGCUUGGACUGAGAAAGGACCAGUGUGGCCUUCAUUGGUCAGUCUGGACUGACCAGCAUGCAUAUGGCCACCUGUAAAGUCACCAGGACACUGUGGUUCUCCCACGGUCACGCUGCAGCCAUAAGACAUCGUAGCAACUUCUCCUUUCAGGGACAGCUGCUUUCUCGUUCACAGAGAAACUAUCCUCUCAAGUAAGUCAUAGGUGACCAGGAGCCUGCUUCUUUGAAGUCUUGUCAGUGGGGACUUGGGAGGGAGGAGUGCAGGAGUGAACCUCCCGUCUUGCCCUGAGGAUCCCAGUUGCCUGGACAGAGGAACAGCCCUGAUUUCCAGCCCCGUGUGGAGGCUCAGAUAAGGGCUUUGUGGACACAGCCUUCGACGUCUGUCUGAGCUCUGUAGUUUCCAAGGAAAUGGGACUUUGGAUCCACUUUGCGUUGCAGACGGUGCUGAUCCCUCUACCUGCGGCUCUGCUCUGAGCCUAUCCUGAUGGCUCUUCCCGGGCUGGGGAUGCAGCCCAGUUGGUAGAGCGCUUGCCUCGCAUGCACAAGCCCUGGGUUCCGUCCCCAGCACAACGACAACAACAAAAAAAGAUAAGAUGGCUCUUCACUGAGGUUCGACCCCAGUUCCGUCUCCUCAGAAGCCUGGGACGUCACCACCCUUCCCUUCUUGCCUCCUUGAGUGUUUGUCCCUCACUGAGCAGGUCAGCUAAGGGGACCUUGUGGCACUGUGGGCUUGUUCUGGUGGCCUGGGGGAGGAUGGAACUCAACUCCAAAGCUGCCCUCAGGACACCUGGUGGCAGCCCACCCUAAUCAGAGGACCUUGGGGACACAGAGACUGCCGCCCCCCCGCCCCCCGGGGCUCUGACUUGCAUCUGAAGGCUCCCAGGGAGCUGUGUCUCUAGCAUGUUCCCAGGUGAUGCUGCUGCUGUGUGUCCCUGGGAUCACCUUGGCGAUGGCCUUCGAUCCCCGGCGUGGCUCAGCAUCAUAGAGCAAGGGCUCAGCCACGGGGUGUGAAGAUUCGGCUCAGGACGAGGCUCCUGCCGCCCACCAACGAAGGGGAGCUGCUGUCAUUAUUUUUAAAUUAGUUGCUUAGAUUCUCCAAUCAUCUGCUCAUCUCCUGUUCUUUCUGCUGUCAUUGCCUAGUGUGAAGUCCUAGGUCAUUGUGGGGGUCACGGUCACAGGAGCUCCCCUGGGGCCCCUGAAUUGGUUCUUGUCAGGGGGUUGUUAGGAAAGGUGAAAGCCCGCCUCCCUGUUUUGCCACGCGUUUUGCCCCUCUCACACCUGUUCCCGCCAUGAUGUCACCAGAAGCCAAACUAGUAGAACUGCCAGAUCUUGGACUUUCACUUCCAAAACAGUGAGCUAAGGAACCCUUUUCCUUCGUAAGUUCCCAGCCUCAGGUUAUUUCGUUAGAGUAACAAACAAAAAAAUUGGACUAAUGUGCUUUCUUUCAGUGGGGUGACGAAUUCAUGGUUGUGGCCCUUUAAGAGCUUUCAGUCCAGGGCAGAGACGGGGAAGCAACUGAACAAAACACAGUGUGGGAUAAAAUAAGCUCUGUGCACAGCUGUGGUUGGGAGCUGCAGAUUCAGAGUCAUAGGACAGAUACUUUUACUCUUGCUGAAUUUUGGUUUUUUUUUUAAUCACCAAGAUUUCACCAGGUCUUGAUUAGAAAGCCUCCCAAGCCAGAAGAAUUAGGGGCAUCUCUGAUGGAUUCUGUCUGUUCUGCUGUGGGCUUUGAUUCCCCCUGAUGUGCGCAGCUCUCUGUGAAGGUCCUCCUGGCGAGCUCUUUGUCAAAGGCAUAGAUGACGUUUUUAGGAAAGAAGCCUAUGAUGGGGAGAGGGUUGGGUCAAAAGGUGUGAACUUUGAGUCUCCCCGUAGCUGGGUCAACUGUCUUCCCAUCUUAGACAGGAAGGGCUCUGGGGAAGCUUCCAGAUGAUGACUGCCUUGCGGUAGAUUUCAGUGAUUCUAAGCACAGCCAAGGACAACGGGCCCCAGAGCAGGCUCCGUGUUUGCUUUUUUUUUUUUUUGCAUUUUGUGGACACAGCGCUCUCCUCGCUCCCAUCUCCCUCUGCUCCUCGGCCAGGAUCUGCAGUUCCGGGAAAGCCUUGUCUCAGCUUCCACUACCCCGUCCCUGAUGGCAAGUCGAUUUCUUCAUGGGUUUUCAGUGAAGUGGAGGCUUCCAUUUCCUGUAACCUUUCUCUAACCCCAGGCUUGGCGGAAGUUUGAGUCAACGGAGGCAGAUGGUUACGGAGCGUGGAGUGGCCCCCUUCACCGCUGUCACCAGAGGCCACCCAGGCCUGCCUGUGUACAGAGCACCAAAUGUGGGUGCUCAGCAUAUCCCUGCCCCACGCCUUCACCUGGGCAUUCCUGCCCUGGCUACUAAAGACUCAUGCCAACCACACCUGAGAAACCUUCCCCGCUGUCCCCAGCCCAGGGAAUCUCCCCCCUGAGAGAGGUGCCACCAUCUCAUCAAUAUGCACAGAGCUCUGCACACACACGUCUAGAGAAUUGAGGCUCAAGCAGAGAGGGAACUUUCCUGAAAGAGAAGGCCGCAGAGUUGGGGAUUGGAAGUCAGGCCCUGUCUCAGGAGGCCAGAUGCCUGCCCCGUGUCGGUCCCCGAGGGUCCACUGUGCGUCGUGGGCUAGAGCCUCCUCCCGCUGCCAAUGGCUUCGCUGCAUUUGGAGCCCUUGGUGGUGAAGCCUUUGAUCAUCUUUUUGGUUAUGAUCUAGUAUCUCUGACACCUGGAUGAACGCUGUUUUCUGGUGAACGCAGGGCUGGGCGCAGAGCAGGUGCUCGGAGAUGCUUUGCGACUUCCCUUCUCUCCUUCCCUCCCUCCCUCUCUCCCUCCCUCUGUGCCCAGAGGGAGGAUUCUGGGUGCUCCGCUCACUG